rnacentral:lncRNA from 1 species
UAUAAAAAUGAUACAAAAUUUAACAGACAUUUGAAAAGAAAUGUUCGCCUCAAUAAUUUUUUUAGCAUUGUACAAAAUACAUAUGUAUUUAUGUACGUAUUUAUGCCCAUUCCAAAUGUCUUUAUGUUAUUUAUUUAUUUAUUUAUUUAUUUAUUCAUUUAUUCAUUCAUUUAUUUAUUUAUUUUUUUUUUUUUCAUAAAUAAGAAAAGUUGCAAUUUACACAUAUUGUAAUGUAAGCUUUAAUUUUAAUCAUAUGAUUCUUAAAACUCAACUUGUAAUAUAAAAGAAAAAAAAUAAGCUAAAAAAAAAAAUCUAGAAAUAUGCAUAAAAUAAACCCUAACUUGAACCCUAAUUUAAUCCUAUGUUUACCCUAAUUUAAUUCUAUUUGAACCCUAAUUUAAUCUUAUUUGAACCCUAAUUUAAUCCUAUUUUAACCCUAAUUUAAUUCUAUUUGAACCCUAAUUUAAUUCUAUUUGAACCCUAAUUUAAUCCUAUUUGAACCCUAAUUUAAUCCUAUUUGAACCCUAAUUUAAUCCUAUUUGAACCCUAAUUUAAUCCUAUUUGAACCCUAAUUUAAUCCUAUUUGAACCAUAGUUUAAUCCAAAAUAAAAUCCAAAUAAAGCUAAAAAUAAGCAAGCUUAACAAGUUCAAAGUCAGUAAAAACAAAAAGGGUUUAAUAGAAAAACGUCCAUUGUUUCAUGUUUUCUCCUAUUGUUAAUAUUUUACCCUUUAGUUCUUAUCAUAUAAUUUAGAUUUUAUUUCACUAGUUGAUUUAUAAAAUAUAUACUUUAUGUAACAUAAUGAGAAGUCUUUUAAAUUAUAAACAAGAAUUAGCAGAAUCAAGAGAAUAUGAAUUAGAAGUUGAAUCCGAAGCAGAGUCAGAGUCAGGAUCAGAGUCCGGUGUAGGAUCUAACAUGUACACAGAAACAUACACAGGUGCAUUUACAGGAGCAUAUACAGGAACAUAUACAGGGGCACAUCUAGGACCAUACACGCAAACCCAAGUAGAACCAUACGAAGAAACACAAUUGGACGUGUACGGUCAAACUAAUUUAGGGCCAUAUGCACACAUAAACUUAGAGGAAUACACACAAACGCACAGAAAAAAAAAACAAAGACAAUCCAUUGAAUCAUACAAUAAUAAUAAUAAUAAUAAUAAAAAGAAUAAAAAAAAGAAACUACGUGAUAGUACUAGUAGCAAUAUUCAUCGUAUUAAUGUUACUACUAAUGGCACUAAUAAUGAUCAUAUAAAAAGUAUAUACAGUAAUUCAUACAUUAACAUUUAUAAACCUACUAACCGUUAUAACGAAAUACAACACAAAUCAAAGCAUCAUAAAUUGCUACCUUGUGUUAUGGAAAUAAUAGAUGACGAUUUAUUUAUAUACAUCUUUGAUAAAAAUAAUAAUAAAAUAUGUUGGGAAUUUGAAAAGGGUAGUUACAUUUUGGGCAUAAAAGAAAACCAAGUGAAUGACGUAAAACCAUUGUCUAAAAAUGUUGACAAUCGAUAUCAUUAUAACGAUAAUGACAUUUAUACUGAUUAUUGUUUAUUGAAAAAUGACAAGCUAAAUGAUAUUUCUACACCAAGAAGUAAAAUUAAAGAGUCUAGUAGCUUUUUUUUUUCUUGUUUUACCAGGUUAUGUGAACCUACAGUAGAUCCAAAUAAAAUAGUACGUACUAACAGUACAAUAACAACAGCUCCAACGUUAUACAAUUUAUUUGAUGAUAAUGAAGAGACAUAUUUAUUACGUAAUUACGAUUCUAAAGAAAAAAAUGUCAAUUUUUUUUUUAAUAUAUCAAAAAAAUUUUGUAAUAUUUUGAACAAAAUGAAAGAAGGAUUAAAAAAAAGUGCAUGUCUGUGUAUUACAUAUAACAAUGACGAAUCAAACUGGGAGGAUAAAAUUUAUUGCAGGAGUAUACCAAAAUAUAUCGAAUUAUAUAUAAAAAUCAAACCUUCUAUUAUACGUCAUUUGCAAAAUCGAAUGACUAUAAAUGAUUGCAUCUGCAAAAACAAUAAAAAAAAAAAUUUAUUAUUAAUUAAUGAAGAUAUAAGAAAGAUAUCAUUUAGCAACGCUCUAUUUUUUGAAUACCCUAAUAAAUUAGUUAAAAAUUACAAAUGUGAUAUUUUUUCACUAAAUGAUUGGUAUCUUCAAAAAUAUUUAUUUAAAGAUGACAACAAAAUUAAAAUGUAUGCUGAAUGUACAAAUGAUUAUAAUUUUUCCAAACUAAACGAAAUUUCCUUUACAGAUAAAAUGCAAUUUCUAAAAAAUGAAAUUUGGUAUGAACUUAAUUUAUUUACAUACGAUUUUUAUAAAAAUAAAAUAGAGCAGUUAAUAAAAAACAACCAUAAUUUCAUACAAGAAGAAACUCAAAGGUUUUUUUAUGAAGAAAUUGAUGUAUGUAAAGAAGAAGAAUAUGAACAAACUCAUGGAGAAUAUUCGGUAAACGAAAAUGGUGAAAUAAGUUAUAAUAUAAAUACAAAUAUAUACGAUUUAACUAAUCAAACAAGUGAAAAAUGGGCAUUUGAUCCGAUAGAAGAAAAUUAUGUUCGAGUAGAUAUAAACGAAACAAAAGAAGAACCAAAAUCUUUUUUAAGUAUAUUUAAAGGAAUAGAAAAAAUCACAACAAAUAAAUCGCUUAAACAAAAAAAUUUAGAAGAUAUAAAUAUCUGUGUACAUAAAGAAUUAAUAUUUUAUGAUAAAAACUUAAAAUUCUUUUGUAAAUAUGUUGGGCAUAUAAAAAAUAAAUUAUAUAAUGGUAAAGGAAAGUUAUACGAUAAAUUUAAUACUCUUAUAUAUGAUGGAGACUGGUUAAAUGGAAAAAAAAAUGGAUGUGGAAAACUGAUUUUUAAAUAUCUAAACAUUUGGUAUUUAUUUGAAGGUUAUUUUUUUAAUGAUGAAAUAGUAGGAAAAGGGAUCAUUUCAUUAAUAGAUAAAGAAUAUGUAAAACGGAUAGGCCAAAGAAAAAUCGACAAACUAUGUCCUCUUUUGAUUAAAGUUAAUUUUGGAAAACACAAGUUAAAAAAGAGAGAAACGAGUGAAAAUGUUAACGUUGGUGUGGGUGUGGGUGUGGGUGUGGGUGAUAAUGCAAAUGAUGAAGAAAGCGCUUACGAAAAAAAAAGUACAAGUAGUAUUAGUAACACAUGCCAAACAGGUAAUAAUAGUAGUUUAAGUGAGCCAAAUGUUAGUAACAACCUUCAUGCUUUGAGUAAUACUAACAACACUCUUGACGCAAGUAGUAACAAUGAUGGUAUACAUGACAAACGUGGUAGUAAUAAUAAUGGCACGCAUAAUACGAGUAGUAGUUAUAGUGAUAGUGGAAGUAAUUAUGAAAAUGAUACUUCUGCAACAAUGAAAAGGACGCAGGCAGGUGCGGCAAAAUAUGAUUCGGCACAAUAUGAUGCGACAACAACAGAUGCGACAACAACAGAUGCGACAACAACAGAUGCGACAACAACAGAUGUGACAACAACAAAUGUGACAAAAACAAAUGCGACAACAACAGAUGUGAUGAUAGUUGAUGCGAAAAAAACAAAAGAAAUCGCGAAAAAGAAAAGAAGAGAAAAAAAAAAUAAAAAACUAAUCGAACUAAUUGAAAACACUGUGAUGGAAAAUUACAGUGAAAUAAAUAAUGUCGACUUUUGGCCUCAAAAAAUUAUAGAUAUAUUUUUUCCUUAUUUAAAAAAAUGGGAUAUAUAUUCUUUUUAUUGUUCAAGUAAUAUAGAACAUGUAAAUAGUAAAAAAAUUAGUUUCCAAACAAAUGGAAACUAUUUUAGAAAUCUAAUUGGUUACCCUUCUUUUGAAUUACAAAAUGGAGAAAACGAUUUAAUGAUGCCUAUGAAAAGUAGCAUUGAUGGGGGAGAUUUUGGUGAGGAAAUUGGUUAUUGGGGUUACUCAUCAUAUGGUCUUGAUGGUGCCUAUACGCGUAAACCACUUCGUUCAGCAUCAGCUGAGCUUAUUCGUGUUGCAACGGCUAACCUUAUUCGUUCGAGGUCAGCUGCCCUUGCACGUUCUUCGACAGCUGGGUCUAUCCCUACACCACCAAUUCGACUGUUUGGUGCAACCAUGUAUGAUAAUAUGACAGAUGAGUUAAAAAAAAGAGGUAAAGACGUGGAGCAAAAAGUGGAGCAAAAAGUGGAGCAAAAGGUGAAGCAAAAAGUGGAGCAAAAAGUGGGUUCGAAGUUAAAGGCGGGUUCGUACGUUCAAGUGAGUAAAAAUACUGGAGCAGCUACAAGCUUUGGAACGGGUAUAAUGGCCAAACCGAGAGUAGUAGUCAACCAAGGAAGCAGAAAUGUUGGAGUAGUAGACCCGCAGUCACAAAACAUAUUUGGUGCGUCGCAAAUGUAUGACGUAGGAAAAAAAGAAAAAGGCACUAACAGUCUUAUCCAACUAAGUGAAAACUGUAACUUACUAUAUAAAGAAUUUGUCG